rnacentral:tRNA from 1 species
GGGUAUAUAGCUCAACUGGUAGAGUGCAUGCUUUGCAUGCACAAAGUCCUGGGUUCAAUUCCCAAUACCUCCU